GUCUGGGUGGUGUAGUUGGUUAUCACGCUAGUCUCACACACUAGAGGUCCUUAGUUCAAACUUGGGCUUAGACA
rfam:Ipomoea nil DNA, scaffold: scaffold1099, cultivar: Tokyo-kokei standard.